GCUGGGUGUGGUGGUGCACAUCUGUAAUCCCAGCUACUUGGGAGGCUGAGGUAUGAGAAUUGCUUGAACCCAAGAGGUGGAGGUUGCAGUGAGUUGAGGUCUUGCCACUGCAUUCUAGGCUGGGCUACAGAGCUAGACUCUGUCUCCAAAAAAAAAAAAGAGUCAGGGUCUCACUCUUUUGCACAGGCUGGAGUGCAGUGGUGCGAUCAUAGCUCGCUGCACUGUAGCCUUGACCUCUUGGACUCAAGCUAUCCUCCUGC
rnacentral:lncRNA from 10 species